UACGGGGGGGGCAAGCGUUGUUCGGAAUUACUGGGCGUAAAGGGCGCGUAGGCGGCUCGCUAAGUCGGGUGUGAAAACUCUGGGCUCAACCCAGAGCCUGCACUCGAAACUGACGAGCUAGAGUUCUGGAGGGGAAAGCGGAAUUCCUGGUGUAGCAGUGAAAUGCGUAGAUAUCAGGAGGAACACCGGUGGCGAAGGCGGCUUUCUGGACAGAAACUGACGCUGAGGCGCGAAAGCUAGGGGAGCAAACAGG
rnacentral:rRNA from 1 species